rnacentral:rRNA from 1 species
UACAGAGGUCUCAAGCGUUGUUCGGAUUCAUUGGGCGUAAAGGGUGCGUAGGCGGGCAGGUAAGUCCGUGGUGAAAUCUCUGAGCUUAACUCAGAAACUGCCAUGGAUACUAUUUGUCUUGAAUGUUGUGGAGGUGAGCGGAAUAUGUCAUGUAGCGGUGAAAUGCUUAGAUAUGACAUAGAACACCAAUUGCGAAGGCAGCUCACUACACAAAUAUUGACGCUGAGGCACGAAAGCGUGGGGAUCAAACAGG